ACUUAUUCUCAGGGCAGGGUGAAAUUCCCUACCGGCGGUAUGUCCCCCGUGGACGAGCCCGCGAGCGCCUGCUGCAGUACAGCAGGGUCAGCAGAUCCGGUGAGAGGCCGGAGCCGACGGUGACAGUCCGGAUGGGAGAGAAUAAGG
rnacentral:ncRNA from 2 species